GACGAACGCUGGCGGCGUGCUUAACACAUGCAAGUCGAACGGAAAGGCCCUUCGGGGUGCUCGAGUGGCGAACGGGUGAGUAACACGUGGGUGAUCUGCCCUGCACUUUGGGAUAAGCCUGGGAAACUGGGUCUAAUACCGAAUACACCUCGCUGGCUGCAUGGUCUGGUGGGGGAAAGCUUUUGCGGUGUGGGAUGGGCCCGCGGCCUAUCAGCUUGUUGGUGGGGUGAUGGCCUACCAAGGCGACGACGGGUAGCCGGCCUGAGAGGGUGUCCGGCCACACUGGGACUGAGAUACGGCCCAGACUCCUACGGGAGGCAGCAGUGGGGAAUAUUGC
rnacentral:rRNA from 1 species